rnacentral:rRNA from 1 species
GGAUAGAGGUCUACCAUGGUGGUAACGGGUAACGGGGUGUUAGGGCACGACACCGGAGAGGGAGCCUGAGAAACGGCUACCACAUCCAAGGAUGGCAGCAGGCGCGCAAAUUACCCAAUCCCGACACGGGGGGGUAGUGACAAUAAAUAACAAUACGGGGUUCUUUAGGAUCUCGUAAUUGGAAUGAGUACAAUUUAAAUCUCUUAACGAGGAACAAUUGGAGGGCAAGUCUGGUGCCAGCAGCCGCGGUAAUUCCAGCUCCAAUAGCGUAUAUUAAAGUUGUUGCAGUUAAAAAGCUCGUAGUUAAAUUUCGGGGUUAGUAGGUUGGUCAUGCCUCUGGUAUGUACUGGUCUCACUGAUUCCUCCUUCCUUAUGAACCGUAAUGCCAUUAAUUUGGUGUUGCGGGGAAUUUGGACUGUUACUUUGAAAAAAUUAGAGUGUUUAAAGCAAGCUAACGCUUGAAUACAUUAGCAUGGAAUAAUGAAAUAGGACGUUCGAUCUUAUUUUGUUGGUUUCUAGGAUUGACGUAAUGAUUAAUAGGGAUAGUUGGGGGCAUUAGUAUUCAAUUGUCAGAGGUGAAAUUCUUGGAUUUAUUGAAGACUAACUACUGCGAAAGCAUUUGCCAAGGAUGUUUUCAUUAAUCAAGAACGAAAGUUAGGGGAUCGAAGACGAUCAGAUACCGUCGUAGUCUUAACCAUAAACUAUGCCGACUAGGGAUCGGAUGAU